CCUGGAGGUAGGGACUGGAGGCGCCUGCGGAAGUCUUCAUUUGUUCCCUUGAGGGAGAGAAGGGCCGGCUCAGAGGUCACCGUCCCAAGCUGCCCCGGUAUGAAACCUAUUCCUUCUCCAGGACAGGACAGUUCCCACUGCCGUAGCUGAGUCGCCCAAAGCUCUGUGUGGGGUGAGCACCCACAGGACAGCCAUCCACAUGGAGAUAACGACAAGGAGUGGCGAGAGAGAACAAGUCAGUUUACAGAGCCUGAGGCUGCGUCAACACGUGGAGCCCUUUCCUCUGCCUACCUGUUUCCCCUCAAACCCUGUCCAGCAAGCGGAAAAAAGCGAAACAUUUGGAGACCUUGCCUUUCCCCCUUUUCCCACAGCAAGCUGCCUCUGAGAAGGUAACAAAUAGCACCGAGAAGGCAGUGGACACGGUCACGAGGCAUUAUAUAUAUCGUAUAUGAACACAUGUAUAUCAUAUAUAAUUUGUGUUUGUUUGAUUUUUCUGUGUUCUGUUACUAGCUACCAACUUGCUUUAUUAAGGUGGACCUUCACAUCCCCAGUGAUAAAGCAAGGAAAACUAACAGUCCAAAGGCAACGUCAACGGUGGUGUGUUAGAUAUAAAAAUCUAAUGUUUACUUCCAAAGGUGUCUCAAGCUAGCUUAGGUCCAGCUCAUCCACAAAUGGACAGGAAACACUGGACCCCUGCUAAUGCCUAGCUAUUCCCCACCACUCCGCAGGGAAGAAUAGAAACUUAGUAAUAGCUGAGUCUGCCUGUGAGGCCAUGCACCUAUUAAGCUUUGAAAUAAACAGAAUUUAAAUGCA